rnacentral:lncRNA from 1 species
ACCAGUAUAGCAUGUCAUUUUCUCUUCUGCCAGUUAUCAAGUCUCCAGUACCCUAAGAAGCAUUCAGGGAUGUCUUUCAAAAGCUGUGUGCCUUCCAUGUACCGUCUAAGACCUCAGGACGUAUACUUCAAAGGAAACUGAUGUGGCAUUGCCAUCUGCAUCUAUUCCAGACAUUAACUACAAACAUGGUUUUGAAAUUUUCCUGUGUGUAGCUGAGGGCAUGGUCUAGAGCUGGACUCUCUAUCUCCCACGAUGCAGUGUCUGCACUCGGGGUGUCAGCACAUGCACACCCUGGAAUGCACCACUUCCUGUGCUGGGCAUUCAAGACAAGCCUGUCAGUUCCUUGAAGUCUACCUUUCCUCUUGAUGGUGAUGGAAUGACUUCUAAGCGGUAACUUAUUGAAUCAAUAUGUUGUCUUUUCUUAAUGUCCUUCAAAUGUAAUAGAAAUGAAUUAAGAACAGUAACGGGAGGAUCUGGAAGUCUGUUUGACCCCCUUGCCCUUUUUUCUCUUACUAGUGACCCCUGAGUCAUGGGAGCUCAGGAUUCCCCCUGGAAACCACGAUGUCGAGUUAAAAGAGCCAUGCAGAG